GCAAGUCGAACGGGCUAUAUUUUUUACCUUGCUAAAAAAUAUAACUAGUGGCAGACGGGUUAGUAAUACAUGGGAAUCUACCUAAAAGUCCGGGAUAACUACUAGAAAUAGUAGCUAAUACCAGAUAUACCCUGAGGGGGAAAGGUUCACUGCUUAUAGAUAGCUCAUGUUAGAUUAGUUUGUUGGUGGGGUAAUGGCCUACCAAGACGAUGAUCUAUAGUUGGUCUGAGAGGAUGAUC
rnacentral:rRNA from 1 species